GUUGUCUGGACACCUGGUUGACUACGCAGUAUCUCUGACGACUUUUAUUCUCUUUUGUUUAAAUCAAACCAUGAGUCUUAGUGAAUUUGUUCUCACUGUUAGUAGUUCCUAGAUUUGAGCUUGUUAAGAUCUCUUAAAGGCAAAAAGGGUAAAGAAGAGGAGCAAAAACCCUCUAGUACUGGUGCAACUUCUAGAAUGAAAUAACCCUUGAUUCUUCUGUUUUCUUAACAGACAUGGCUACUGAUUACCAAGCAGGGCACAUGCAACUGCCCAGAGCUGAUGCCAUUCGUUCGCGUCUCAUCGAUACUUUCUCUCUCAUAGAGCAUUUGCAAGGCUUGAGCCAAGCUGUGCCUCGGCACACUCUCCGGGAGAUACUUGGUCAGCUAUUUCUUCGUUACACUUAGUUUUAGACUCCUAUCUUCAUUCUCCAGAGUAGGAAGCAGAGAAAUUUAAGGGUAGAAAAUUAAGGGAAGUUUGUUUCGUUGCUGAUUUGGAGGCUACACUUGAUAAAUUAUCAAGGGUUGUAUAAAUAAAACUUUGAAUCCAGGAAAUAGAGCCCAUGUCACUCCCUUUUAGGCUAUUAGCUUUGACUAACUUUGAAAAGUUUCUCACCAAAGACACUUUGAGUUGAAACUGCUGCUUUCAUUCUUGGGCAUGGUCAGUGUUGGUCUUAAGCCAUAUGUUAAUUCUCACCCCAAACUAACAAGAUUUUUAUUUGCUGUGAGAAGGAGCAACUGCAAGGCAAGUCCUUGUACUAUAAAACUCAUUUUCCGAUCAAUCUCCCUACGUCCAACCCUCCUUUUCAUAACCCCAAAGAAUUUCCUUUAUGUUUGUCCACUCCCCUUUUUUGGAUAGACUCUUGCUGGUUGGCCUUUAACUCCUGGACUCAAGAUUCUCACCCUUCAACUUCAAGUAACUGGGACUAGAGGCAUGUGCUAUCCCUUUUUAAAAUUUUUGUUAUAGAUCCUUCCCUUCAGAAGAAACUUUUGCUGGGAGAUCAGCAUCAGCUAGUGCGAAUAUCCAUAAAGCCUCGACAUGUAGGACGAAUUUCACAUGCCCAGCGAAUGAUGAGCAGGUUGCGUGUGCGCUGCAGUCAGAGGCCACCUCUUUCCUUGUGGGCUGGAUGGGUUCUUGAGAGUAUCCUUUAUGUCUCUGUUUUUUAUGCAUAAUAAUUUGCCAUCUGUGUAUGAUUUCUUUUUCCCGACCCCAAAUACCAUUUUCAUUGUAUCUAACGGUAUCUAUAUAUAUAUUUAUAUAUCCCUACCCAGGUCCUCAUGCUGUAUCUUAUGUUCUUGCUGUUAUUAUUUCAGUUCCAUAAAUCUGAAAGAACUCCAUUUUAUGUUUCCUUAAGAGAAAAUAGGUUCUGUCUUCACAAAUUUCAUCAUCUUCCUCAUCUUCCUGAAUACAAUCGUACUAAUGGUUGAAAUAGGUGAGAACUGAUACUGAAAGAGGAAGUGGGUGGGAGGUAUUUUCUUUUAAAUUGAUCAUUUUACCUUUUAAAACAUUGUUUGAAUUGUGAUAGGGACAAUUCUAUUAAGCCCUCUGGAAUAGAUUUUGUAGAGCUGCUAAGAUCUAGAAACAUUUGGAGGGUUCUCAGGGUACUAGGUUCUCAGGGUACUAGUAGUAGACACAGGGUAGUCUAGACACUUAAAGGUAGGGUGUAAUAUGUAGCAAUGUGACAAAUCCACAAUGAGCUGGAGGUGGGAACAAAACACCUGGCAAUUGGCUUACUUUUAAAAAUAAUUUUCAUAUUUUGUUUCUAAAUGAUGAGAGAGAGCCAGGGCGUGGUGGUGCACACCUGUAAUCCCAGCGUCCCAGGAGAAUGAGUUAGGAAGAUUGCAAGUUCAAAGCCAGCCUCAGCAAUGGCUAGGCACUAAGCAACUCAGUGAGAACCCUGUCUAAAUAAAAUACAAAAUAGGCCUGGGGAUGUGGCUCAGUGGUUGAGUGCCCUUGAGUUCAAUCUCCAGUACCAAAUAAAUAAAUAAAUAAAUAAACAGACAAAUAAAUAAUGAGAGAGAAAAAAGAAAAGAUUUGGCUCAUUUACAAUUCUUACUCUGAAAAUAAUACGUUGCCACCAUGGAUAAUCCUUAUUUCCAAUUAGAAAAUAAAUGUAGCAUCAUUACAGUUUCAUUGACAUUGAUGUUUAAAGUUUUAGAGACAGCUUGAUGUGCUGUAUAAAAUUUUUCAUUGUGAGUGCACUUUAUGGAAUCUAAUGAACAUCAUGAUGACAUAAACUUGCAGAAUUAUUUUCUUCUUUUUUUUUCUUUCAUGGUAUCCAGGGACACUUAACCACUGACCCACAUCCCCAGCCCUUUUUUAAUGUUUUAUUUAGAGACAGGGUCUUACUAAGUUGCUGAGGCCAGCUUUGAACUCACGAUCCUCCUGCCUCAGCCUCCUGAGCCACUGAGAUUAUAGGCUGUGAGCCACUCUCAGUUUAUUUGCUGUUUUGAGAGAGGGUCUCAAUAAAUUGCCUAGGGCUUCCUUAAGUUGCUGAGGCUGGCUUUGAACUUGCAAUCAUCCUGCCUCAGCCUUCCCUGGUGCUGGGAUGACAGGUGUGUAUCACUGCACCUGGCUCUUAUGCUCUUCUUAUCUUUAUUUUGUUUAUUUGUUUUUAUGUGGUGCUGAGGAUCGAAUCUAGUGCCUCACAUUGCAAGGAAAGCACUCUGCCACUGAACCACAACUCCAGCCCUCUUAUGCUCUUCUUAAAGUUGUACUUUUCGGCAUCAGUGUUCCUUACUUAAUUGUGGAUAUCAUUAGCUAAAAUGUUCCUAAAAACAAUGAAAAUUUUAAACUAUAUAAGUGUCAAAAUCUAUACAGUUUGUGUUGUUCAGGGUGAUUAAGUAUGUUCUGAUCUUCUUUAACUGCCAGGUAUAUCAAUCAGAACAUUUGAUGUUCCUUGGAUGGUUCUGUUUUAGAGGGGAAUGUAUUUAGUUACUAAAGAAUAAAUAUGGGAAUUAAAGUAGAGCCCAUAACACCUUUAAAAUCACUAAACUCUGGAACACCUUCAAGAAUUCCCAAGGUACUGUCAUGUAACAAAAAAGAAUUUUCAGGGGUUUGCAAACUUGUUUGAAAAUGCUUUCUAGUUGAAAAACAUCCUGAGAUGCAGAAAGAUAAAACUUUCAAGGUCAUUCAUCUAGAAGCUGGUGGAGAUUACUUUCAAACCCAGGUAUCUGGCCCUGAAAUUUUUUCCUUGAAUUCAGCCUGAAAUUCUGAAUACCGGUUGUUAUAUCAAACAUAUGUCCCUAUACCCAUAACUAGAAAAAGAAAGCUAAUCAAUUACAAAAAUGAGUGCCUUCUGUGAAGGGAUGCUUAAAAGUAUACGGUAGUUUGGAGUGAAAAGAAUCUGGGAGGCUGAGACAGGAUUGCAAGUUCAAAGCCAGCCUUAGCAAAAAGCGAGGGACUAAGCAACUCAGUGAGACCCUGUCUCUAAAUAAAAUAACAAAAUAGGGCUGGGGAUGUGGCUCAGUGGCAGAGUUCCCCUGAAUUCAAUUCCUGGUACCAAAAAAAAAAAAAGGAAAGAAUCUUAGUAUCUGUAAAAUAAUUAAAAUAUUACAGGAUAAUCCCCAUAUGCUAGCUGUAAGAAAAGUAUUGUUAAUUUGAAAAACUAAGUAACAGAAGAUUUAGGGAAAGUAAUAGAAACCAGAUAAUUAAGGCACUAAGGAAUUUAAGAUUAAUUAGGGAUAUAUAUAUAUAUAUAUGUAUUAUUAUGUAUUAUUAUAUAUUAUAUAUAUAUGUAUUAUAUGUAUUAUUAUAUAUGUAUUAUUAUGGAAGGCAAUUCUGCCCUUCUGCAAAAGUCCUUUAAGUCCUAUUGUUCUAACUUAAUGACAUUUCUUAUGUUCUAAAGAUUUUACUAGUUUUUGUUUUGUUUUGUUGGAUGGGGGGAUUGAACCUAGGGACUCUCUACCACUGAGCUACAUUCUGAGACAGGGUCUUGCUAAGUUGCCAAGGCUGGCCUUGAACUUACAGUCCUCCUGCCUCAGCCUCCAUAUAGCUGAGAUUAGAGGCAUGUGCCACUGUGCUUGGCAGGAUUUUACCAGUCUUAUUUUCAAAUCAUGUAACUUGGCCAAAUCAACACUAGUGUUUUAUUAUAGCCCUUUGUAUACAACUAAAUGAGAGAAAGAAGAAACACUGGGGAAUGAUAUUGUUAUAUUGUGUGCAAGUAUGAAAAUGUAACAACAAAUCCUACUAUUAAGUACAACUAUAAUGUAUCAAUAAAAAAAAUGAGGAAAAAAAAAAACAACCCAAAGGCUUAUUUCUACAGUGGAAUUGUAAGCAUUAUUUGAACUCAUCAUUUGCAACUCUUAUUGUUGUCGUUUGUGGAACAUAUAUACAAAUUAUGGUGUGCUCCUCUCUUUGGCAAUGUUGAACUUCUCUUGCAACCAAUGUGAAUUUACCUGAUAUUCUAUGUGCUAGAUUAGGAAGUGGCAAUAGACAACUCUCAAUAUUGAAACUCUACCAUAGAAUCAUAUACAUAUGCCUGACUUGGUUGAUAAAGCUACUGCCUUCUGUCACCCCAAGAGAAGAAUAUUCAAAUGUAGAUCUUCACUAUUAACUCACAGCAGUGACUAAAAUUCCUGGCUGGACUGUGCUGGGCUCCUCAGCUCUUUUUCCAAUAAGAUUCCUUUGCAUUAUUAAGGCAGGCUGUUUUUUUGUUUGUUUGUUUUUUGUUUUUUUUUUUUUUUGUUACCAAGGAUUGAAUUUAGGGGUACUUAACCACUGAGCCACA
rnacentral:lncRNA from 1 species